rnacentral:rRNA from 1 species
UACGGAGGGUGCAAACGUUGCUCGGAAUCAUUGGGCGUAAAGCGCACGUAGGCGGCUUCUUAAGUCGGGGGUGAAAGCCCUCGGCUCAACCGAGGAAGUGCAUUCGAAACUGAGGGGCUUGAAUACUGGAGAGGAUGGCGGAAUUCCCGGUGUAGAGGUGAAAUUCGUAGAUAUCGGGAGGAACACCAGCGGCGAAGGCGGCCAUCUGGACAGAUAUUGACGCUGAGGUGCGAAAGCGUGGGGAGCAAACAGG